CCCGGCUUGAAUUCAGUCUGAAACAAGGAGAGCAGGGAUGUAAGGAGGUGGAGGAUGAGGAGAGAAGAGAUAUGGAAGGUGCUCUCAUGAUGGAAGGCGCUACCAGGACGGAAGGUGCUAUCAUGAUGGAAGAUGCUACCACGAUGGACAUGCUACCACGAUGGAAGGUGCUAUCAUGGUGGAAGAUGCUACCAUGACGGAGGUGAUACCGCAAUGGAAGGUGCUGCACAGCGACAUGGGUUGGCAAGGGGUCCCACUCUGGCACAGUCACUCCCCUUCCAUACACCUGCCAUCCUGGGUCCCAGGCGUGCCAUUUCUGAGCAUAACUCUAUUCCCAUACAGCAGUUUUUACAAUACAUUCAUAGAAUGCAAAUCAAAUGCAGUGUAGAGAAUAGUGGCUGCAUUUUAUAGUCUUCACGUAACUCAGAGGGGCGGAUGGAGCAGCAGGGAUGCUCAGAGGCUGCACCUCACCAGCACACACCAUUUACAAAAGGUUUGGUGAUCUUCACCAGCAAAGGAUGUGGUUGAGAAACUCUUUUGCCUUUGAAGGAAUUACACAGAAGACAUCUCUGUGCAAGACCCAUUCCUCUCCAACAAAAAACUGCUGCUCCUGUUCAUACCCAAUGCAGGUACAGGAAUCCAAAGAGCAGAUCUGGCCCAUCUUCCCACAAAUGAGGAACCAGAAGGUUUAUUUUUCUGUUCUGCCAAUGCUGCCAAUCAUCACUCACGUUUCCAUACGUGAGACGUUUUCAAUCCCAGCUGUGCAGCAUUUACACCACUGACAUUACCCUACAGUGCAUGCAAACAGCCCAGCAGCCAGAAUCAGCCUUGCCCAAAGCUGCUCUACAGUGCAGUUUCUCCACACUCCAUUUACCUGGGGCUGUCCUGGGAGCGUGACACAGCCAAGAGCUCGAAGCCUACACAACAUCAGGACAGUGCUGCACAACAUCCAGAACCAUGCUGUGAAGAGCAGUCAGCCCUGACCUGUGCAUUGCUGCACUGUCUCUAGUUUCUGUUAUCCACAGUUGACAUUUUUCUUUUCCACAGUUCUACUUUUCUGCAUUUAUUUUCUGCACACUCCUUUUAUGUACGCUCAGUUACAAUAGUGAUCAAAGAACUCAGAAGUUCCUAUGCAAAUGAAGUUACGAAUUUGCGGUUUGGGAAGAAUGUAAAACCCACUCAUUCUAUUUAUAUUGAAAUAUUUUAAUGUAUUUUUAAUGCCUUGGCCCUGGCAAAGUGAAUUUCAUUCAAGGAAGUGAUAUAUUGAGCAAACAUUAUUCUCCUAGGUUUAUUUCUUUGUCAAAUAAUUGAUUUUUUUUUAAUGUCUCAUAUUACAGCUAACGUUACAUAAAUGCAGAGAGAAGAAUUGCUUGGUUAACGUGCAUUUCUCACGAGGGCCCCUUCAGGGCUA
rnacentral:lncRNA from 1 species